GUCCUGCAACAACCAGUAUCCAGAAAUUACACAGCUCUGAGCAGAGCAUCCUGGGCAUUGAACAUGUUUUGGAUGGUCUCAGAAGGAAUGGUCUCUGCUUCAGGGCUGAACUCUUAUCCAGGGAGGGGUAACUUCCAGGAAGACGACCGAUACCUUCUUGAUAGUAGUCACACAAUGCUUCCUGGAGCAGGUCAUGAAAACUAUCUGGUGCAUUAUAACAAGAGUUCAAAAUAAAAU